rnacentral:lncRNA from 1 species
AAAUUAAAUUGAUGAUCGGAUCACUUACCUAAUGUGCUAGACUCCUUCUUUAGAUCGGAUUUGAAGAUGUCCACAGGUUCUGUUGAAGCCACACACACGUCCGACCUCUACGAGUAUCCACAUAGGGCUGAAACAGAUCAAAGUAUCCAAGAUCACCGAGGUGCUAGCUCUCUUGCAGAUCUCGCUUCUUCAGAUUUAGAUAUAAUCUCCUUCUUCGAUUGCCAUAGAAGAAGACCUGAAGAUAGAUCUACACAUGAACUCCUUUUGCGCAGGGUUGGAGGAAAUAGAAGGUGAUAGGAGAACUCCUUCUCCUUCUCUAUCGCUGAUCUCUCUCUCUCUCCUUUUUAGAGUGACUGACCAAAAGGAGAUGGGGUGUCUGAAUCUAGGUGGGAGCAAGAGAAAGUGGGGCGGCAACACAAGAUGAAUAAGUGAUCAAUCUACUCACACACCCAAGACCUAUCCCUUCUUAUAAUUGGCAGCCAAGGGGGUUAGAAUAGAGUUUGGGAUGAACUUGGACUCUUAUCUGAUAAGAGUUUAAGUUCAAAAUCAGCCUUAUCUUAUCUCGAAAGAAAGAGGAGAUAGAGGUUAUCAGGAGGGGAUGCUAACUUUGAAUCUGUGCCCCCU